GACGAACGCUGGCGGCGUGCUUAACACAUGCAAGUCGAACGGAAAGGCCCUGCUUUUGUGGGGUGCUCGAGUGGCGAACGGGUGAGUAACACGUGAGUAACCUGCCCUUGACUUUGGGAUAACUUCAGGAAACUGGGGCUAAUACCGGAUAGGAGCUCCUGCUGCAUGGUGGGGGUUGGAAAGUUUCGGCGGUUGGGGAUGGACUCGCGGCUUAUCAGCUUGUUGGUGGGGUAGUGGCUUACCAAGGCUUUGACGGGUAGCCGGCCUGAGAGGGUGACCGGCCACAUUGGGCCUGCGAGACGGCGCAGACUCCUACGUGAGGCAGCAGGGGGGAAUAUUGCACAAUGGGCGGAAGCCUGAUGCAGCAGCGCCGCGUGCGGGAUGACGGCCUUCGGGUUGUAAACCGCUGUCGCCUGUGCCGAAGCGUGAGUGACGGUAAUGGGUAAAGAAGCACCGGCUAACUACGUG
rnacentral:rRNA from 1 species